CGCCUGGUUGGCAGGGGUUAUUGUGGGUGCUGGUUGCUUUGGGGGAGGCUGACCGCCUGCCCAUUAACUGCGUGGGCGCCCACACUGUUUUAGGCACUGUUCUAGGAUGAACAAGGCAUCUUUGGGGGCCUCCUUUGUCUGGGUGUGCCUGGGUGUAGUCUGCAGGCAAGUUUGUGCGGGUGUGACUAAUGGAUUUAUGUAUGUCAGUGCCAGGGUGACUAAUGGAGGGCUUGGCAGCGCGUGUGGAGGGGAGUCAGAGCCCUGGGGGGCGGGGGGGGGACUGCCUCCUGCCUGGUCUUUAGGGGUUCACUUCGGUUGCCAGUCUCCAGCUGUGUUGGGGCCUCUGAAGCCCGCCCCGGGCACCUCCCCGGCGGGCCUGUGUGCGUCCAGAUCUCAGGAGCAAAUUUCCACCGCAGCGCUGACCCCAGAGGUGCGUGGUCCUCUAACAAGAUGCGCGCAAGUGACACCACGUGGCUUCCAAGCGAGGUCGGAAGAGGAGACACCAGGCUCGCGUGGAACCCUGAGCCAGCAGAGAGGGCCCUAAUCCAGCGACUGCUACUCAUAUCAGAACUGGGAGCUUUGGACACAGCUGCCCACACCGAGGAAGGAGGCUGUGUGACCACAGAGACAGACAUCAGGGUGGCAGUGCCUGCCAAGGAACGUGGAGACAAGGCACGGGAGGGGCUCUCCCCCGGGGCCUCCAGAGGGAGCAUGUCAUCGAGGACUUCUGGCUUCCGGAAUUAAGAGAAAAUAGAUUUCUGUGCCCCUCACUGUGUGGUGAUGUGUAGGGCACCCCUAGGGAGCUAAUACAGCACCCCAUUCCGCUGGACCAGCUUCUGCGACCUGUCAAUGUUCUUCCUGGCUUACACAUUCCCCCGCUGUUCCUCUUCAGCCACUGGACCAUCCACCGGGAGGAGCUUGGAGCCUGGCCGGGAAGGUAAGCAGGGACCCAGCCAAUCGAAGAACGAGAGGCCAGUGUAGACGGCCAGCGGACAGUUCUUUCCGGCCACCGACAGUUCCCAAACACGCCUGCACCUUCUCUGCACGUCCCCAUCAAGAAGGGCACUCUAGGGGCACCUGGGUGGCUCAGUCGGUGAAGCGUCCGACUUGGGCUCAGGUCAUGAUCUCAGGGUUCGUGGGUUCGAGCCCUGCGUC